UACGUAGGUGGCGAGCGUUGUCCGGAAUUAUUGGGCGUAAAGAGCGCGUAGGCGGCUUGUCAGGUCUGACGUGAAAUGCCGGGGCUCAACCCCGGACGUGCGUCAGAAACCGGCUUGCUAGAGUCUGGGAGAGGGAAGUGGAAUUCCUGGUGUAGCGGUGAAAUGCGCAGAUAUCAGGAGGAACACCGGUAGCGAAGGCUGCUUCCUGGAACAGUACUGACGCUGAGGCGCGAAAGCUAGGGGAGCAAACAGG
rnacentral:rRNA from 1 species